UCAAACUUGGUCAUUUAGAGGAAGUAAAAGUCGUAACAAGGUCUCCGUUGGUGAACCAGCGGAGGGAUCAUUACAGAGUUAUCAAAACUCCCAAACCCAUGUGAACUUACCAUUGUUGCCUCGGCAGGUCCGCCCUCCGGCCCCUCCCCCCUCCGGGGGGCAGGUUUCGGGGCGCGGGUCACGCCUGCCGGCGGCCCACAAAACUCUGUUUACUUGAUUGUAUUCUGAAUCUAUAACUAAAUAAGUUAAAACUUUCAACAACGGAUCUCUUGGUUCUGGCAUCGAUGAAGAACGCAGC
rnacentral:misc_RNA from 1 species